CUUUUGGGCGGGAUAUCAUGCUAGUCGAACGAACCCGGACCAUGGCGGGGGAGUGGCACACUGCUCAGUAACGCGUAGUCAACCUAACCUAUGGACGGGAAUAAUCUCGGGAAACUGAGAAUAAUGCCCGAUAGAACACUAUAUCUGGAAUGGUUUGUGUUCCAAAUGAUUUAUCGCCAUAGGAUGGGACUGCGGCCUAUCAGUUUGUUGGUGAGGUAAUGGCCCACCAAGACUAUUACAGGUACGGGCUCUGAGAGGAGUGGCCCGGAGAUGGGUACUGAGACACGGACCCAGGCCCUAUGGGGCGCAGCAGGCGAGAAAACUUUGCAAUGUGCGAAAGCACGACAAGGUUAAUCCGAGUGGUUUCUGCUAAAGAAACCUUUUGCUAGUCCUAGAAACACUAGUGAAUAAGGGGUGGGCAAGUUCUGGUGUCAGCCGCCGCGGUAAAACCAGCACCUCAAGUGGUCAGGAUGAUUAUUGGGCCUAAAGCAUCCGUAGCUCGUUUUGUAAGUUUUCGGUUAAAUCCAUACGCUCAACGUAUGGGCUGCCGGGAAUACUGCAUGACUAGGAAGUGGGAGAGGUAGACGGUACUCGAUAGGAAGGGGUAAAAUCCUUUGAUCUAUUGAUGACCACCUGUGGCGAAGGCGGUCUACCAGAACACGUUCGACGGUGAGGGAUGAAAGCUGGGGGAGCAAACCGGAUUAGAUACCCGGGUAGUCCCAGCUGUAAACUAUGCAAACUCAGUGAUGCAUUGGCUUGUGGCCAAUGCAGUGCUGCAGGGAAGCCGUUAAGUUUGCCGCCUGGGAAGUACGUACGCAAGUAUGAAACUUAAAGGAAUUGGCGGGGGAGCACCACAAGGGGUGAAGCCUGCGGUUCAAUUGGAGUCAACGCCGGGAAUC
rnacentral:rRNA from 1 species